GACGAACGCUGGCGGUGUGCUUAACACAUGCAAGUCGAACGGCAAGGCCCUGCUUUUGUGGGGUGCUCGAGUGGCGAACGGGUGAGUAUCACGUGAGUAACCUGCCCUUGACUUUGGGAUAACUUCAGGAAACGGGGGCUACUACCGGAUAGGAGCUGCUGUUGCAUGGUGGGGGUUGGAAAGUUUCGGCGGGUGGGGAUGGACUCGCGGCUGAUGGGCUUGUUGGUUGGGGAGUUGCUUACCAAGGCAUUGACGGGUAGCCGGCCUGAGAGGGUGACCGGCCACAUGGGGACUGAGAUACGGCCCAGAGUCCUACGGGGGGCAGUAGUGGGGAAUAUUGCCCAAUGGGCGGAAGCCUGAUGCGGCAGCGCCGCGUGCGGGAUGACGGCCUUCGGGUUGUGAACCGCUUUCGCCUGUGACGAAGCGUGAGUGACGGUAAUGGGUAAAGAAGCACCGGCUAACUACGUG
rnacentral:rRNA from 1 species